CACCGUUUUUUGUUUUAUGUCGAAAGGAUCUAAAGAAAUGUCAGAACGCAUCACCGGUACGGUCAAGUGGUUCAAUGCCACCAAGGGUUAUGGCUUCAUCGCUCGCGAAGGCGGCGCUGAUGUCUUCGUUCACUUCUCUGCCAUUGAAGGAACCGGUUACCGCAGCCUUGAAGAAGGCCAGCAGGUCGAGUUCACUCUCGAGCAGGGCCCCAAGGGUCUGCAGGCCGCCAAAGUCACCGUCCUGUAAGAGCUAACCGUAUCAAAAAUCAGGCCCCGCCAGAAAUGGCGGGGCUUUGUG
rnacentral:sRNA from 1 species